CCUACGGGUGGCUGCAGUAACGAAUCUUCCGCAAUGGGCGCAAGCCUGACGGAGCAAUGCCGCGUGCGGGAUGAAGUAUCUCUGGUAUGUAAACCGCUGUCAGGGGACGGAAACAAUGAUUGUCCCCAGAGGAAGUGGCGACUAACUCUGUGCCAGCAGUCGCGGUAAUACAGAGGCCACGAGCAUUAGUCGGAAUCACUGGGCUUAAAGGGUGCGUAGGUGGCUUGCCAAGUGCUUUGUGAAAUCCCACGGCUCAACCGUGGAACAGCAGGGCAUACUGGCAGGCUUGAGGCAAGUAGGGGCUGACGGAACAGUAGGUGGAGCGGUGAAAUGCGUAGAUAUCUACUGGAACGCCGAUGGUGAAGACGGUCAGCUGGGCUUGUCCUGACACUGAGGCACGAAAGCGUGGGGAGCAAACAGGAUUAGAUACCCUUGUAGUC
rnacentral:rRNA from 1 species